UGUCACGAUGCACAUCUAAGGGUGUGGAUCCUUCAAUCUCACCAUCGAUUUUCUUUAUUGCUGCAAGUGACUUUUUGGCAUCCUUGUUCAUCUUCUUUAUGAAUGAAGUGUAUUUAGUGAUGCUGGCUUCAGUACUUGAAUCUCCCUUUUUUCUCCUUAGAGAGGAUUGGAUAUCUCUCAAAUGUUCUUUCAACUGAGAGAUGCAGUCUCUUGCCAGACCACAAAUAUCAAGAAGCUUUACUGAUUUCUCCAAUAAGCCAUCAACCCACUUCUUGUUUUGAUAUUGAGUGAGAGCUUGAAGGGUUUGUGGCAAGUUAAGAAGAUCAUCCAUGCACUUGUAAAGCUGUUCUAAUCCAAGAAGACCACUGCUGAUUGUAGCAGCUUCUGGAGCAGCUGAUACUUGUAAUGUUUUGAGUUUUAUCAGCUCUUCUUCCACUUUGUGGAUGCUUGGAUGUGAUCUGCUGGGAAAGCUAAUAGAUCGGAUGUGGUUGGGUUUUGCCAUUGUUGUGUUUUCUCUCUUUGUAACAGGAAAGUAAACUCAAGCUUGUGUUGGCUAGAAUAAGCUCUAGGCUUGGUUAUAUAUUGGCAGAUUGGAAGGCCAUAUAGAAGGAGACAUUGCUGACACAACUGACAUUAGCCAGGUUGUAAUUUGAAUAUGAUCACCAUGUGGUUGCAGCAUGGAAAUGGGUUCUGUAUUUUAGUUUCACCAACAAAACUCAUAAAACAUUUUCUUAUUUCUUUAUCCUCAUAAUAACAGAAUGAUUAAUAGGUGUAUCAAUAUUGAGCUGGUGAAGAUUAUGUGUCCUCCUGCCUGCCUGGCAUCAGAAGGUUGGUGCCCCACAGCAACUUUGCCACAUUCAUAACAUAAGGGGCAUAAUCUUUACAAUUUUGUUUCUGUAGAUAUAUGGAGGUAUAGCCAAUCCAUAAUUUUAAUUUGCAUGGGUGAAGGGAAGGAAAUUCUCCUAUAUUCUGUGCACACGUAUAUUUGGGAUCAAUAUUGAAAUCCCACCACAGCACUGCAUUGCAAACAUUGAUUUUAAUAAUCUCCUGUGACUUCCAUAGAACAGGCAAUUUUGAUGGGAAACGAGAUGUGUAAUGGAAUGGCUCAGAUAAACCAUGUGCUUCCUGCAGCAAGUCCGGCAUCUCGCCAUUUUUGCCACCUUGCCUCCAAAAAAUUUAUGUGGCUUGUCUAUAAUUGGUUGGAGGACUCGUACACAUACACGACAGCAACUCAACCAUGACUAUAAAGAAUGGAGUGAGAUAAUGGGAGACAUUCUGUUGCAAAUUUCAUAUGCAUUUGCAGCUUGUUUAAUAAUCUUACUAGAAAAAGAGGUUCUUUUAUUCUUACGACUUUUACAUGUUUGAUUAAUUGCUUAAGUAAGUUUGGA